rnacentral:misc_RNA from 1 species
UUAAUUAUUUGCUUUUCACUUCAGGCUGCAAUGUUGUUCAGGGUUGGAUGUUCGGCUGGCGCACCACGCUGUCAAGCGGGCGCGCCUGAAGCCGACGGGUUUGUUAUAUUCGGGGGCUAAGCAAAGGGUGGGGGCGGGCGCCGAAGCACCCAACCUGGGUCCCAGUAAUGAUCCUUCCGCAGGUUCACCUGUAAUGUAGUUAGUAUGUGUUAAAAAUGGAGCGUCGAUGUAUGUGUUUACUUACCUACGGAAA